AGUGAACGCUGGCGGUAGGCCUAACACAUGCAAGUCGAACGGCAGCACAGUAAGAGCUUGCUCUUACGGGUGGCGAGUGGCGGACGGGUGAGGAAUACAUCGGAAUCUACUUUUUCGUGGGGGAUAACGUAGGGAAACUUACGCUAAUACCGCAUACGACCUACGGGUGAAAGCAGGGGAUCUUCGGACCUUGCGCGAUUGAAUGAGCCGAUGUCGGAUUAGCUAGUUGGCGGGGUAAAGGCCCACCAAGGCGACGAUCCGUAGCUGGUCUGAGAGGAUGAUCAGCCACACUGGAACUGAGACACGGUCCAGACUCCUACGGGAGGCAGCAGUGGGGAAUAUUGGACAAUGGGCGCAAGCCUGAUCCAGCCAUACCGCGUGGGUGAAGAAGGCCUUCGGGUUGUAAAGCCCUUUUGUUGGGAAAGAAAAGCAGCAGGUUAAUACCCCGCUGUUCUGACGGUACCCAAAGAAAGAGCACCGGCUAACUUCGUG
rnacentral:rRNA from 1 species